rnacentral:rRNA from 1 species
AUUGAACGCUGGCGGCAUGCCUUACACAUGCAAGUCGAACGGCAGCAUGAUCUAGCUUGCUAGAUUGAUGGCGAGUGGCGAACGGGUGAGUAAUACAUCGGAAAGUGCCCUGUAGUGGGGGAUAACUAGUCGAAAGAUUAGCUAAUACCGCAUACGACCUGAGGGUGAAAGUGGGGGACCGCAAGGCCUCAUGCUAUAGGAGCGGCCGAUGUCUGAUUAGCUAGUUGGUGAGGUAAAGGCUCACCAAGGCGACGAUCAGUAGCUGGUCUGAGAGGACAAUCAGCCACACUGGGACUGAGACACGGCCCAGACUCCUAUGGGAGGCAGCAGUGGGGAAUUUUGGACAAUGGGCGAAAGCCUGAUCCAGCAAUGCCGCGUGUGUGAAGAAGGCCUUCGGGUUGUAAAGCACUUUUGUCCGGAAAGAAAUGGCUCUGGUUAAUACCUGGGGUCGAUGACGGUACCGGAAGAAUAAGGACCGGCUAACUACGUG